rnacentral:lncRNA from 1 species
GAAGAAAGACUCUCUCUUCUCUGUGUGUGUGGGACUCAGCAACUGCUAGAUCCUUGGACUUCCAUUCACAUCUGCUGCUGACCAUUGUUGGGGAGUUGGACUACAGACUGUGAGUCAUCAUCAGUUCCCUUACUAUACAGUGACUACCAGAGCCUUCUUCCUGAAGACCUGAGAGGAUGAGUGGUCAGACCCCACCCACACUCCAGAAGCGAGCAAGGCAGACACAGCUGAGAGAUGAGGCUUUGGCCAUAUCCCCUCUGGAGAACGUGCCAGCUGUGUACGUCCCAUGGCUGUUCCAAGAGGCCUUUGCUGGCAGACACAACUCGCUCAUAAAGACAAUGGUGGCAGCCUGGCCUUUCCAAUAUCUCCCUGUGGGGUCAUUGAUAAAUAUGCAUAACCUGGAAACCUUGCAAGCUCUGCUAGAUGGUGUAGACAGGAGACUGACAAGAAAAUUUCCCCCCGGAAUUGGUGUGGGAAGUGCCACACAUGGCCUCUUGUUUGCAAGAGCCGAAGGAGGAGGUAGUCUAUGUUAUUUUUACCUUCCCAUACCCAAGAGCCACCAGGAGCUGCAGCUUAAAGAGGAAGUAUACAUUACAGUGCUCUGGAAACACCUGAGCAAGGGUGAGGAAGAGAGACUGGCAUUUCUUAUCAAUGGUUUCCUGAAGGAGCAAAGUCUGCUGGUAGGAAAGGCAGAAGAAUCAAAAGAAGAAAAAAUGUGGAAUAAAAUCACUCUGAGGCCCAGGUGAGCGAAACAACCUUGAAGACACGUGAGGACAUUGUAGCCCAUAUUCUACUGCCAGAAGGAUCAGUACAAGCUCAGCUUUUGUUAGCUACAUUUUUAAUGAGUUUCUAUCUAGUUAUAUUUUCAAAUACAAAUAAAUCAUACUUGCACGUGUUGGGGAGGGGUUGGUGGUGAUGGGAACCUUCUUAGCCUAGGCCUUGGUGAGAACACACUACCCCCAAGCACUUUUAGUGUGUGUCUGUGCUGCCCUCUACUGGCCAACAGGUUGAUCUGAAUCACAGUAUUGCUUCAGAGCCAGUAAGGAUCAUUCUUCAAAAUAUGUAUUACCUGAGACAGAAAAGUCACAAUCCAUUAAUAGCUGCAUUCUAUAGAUUUGAGAAGAUCCUACAAACCAAAUUAAUUAUCUUACUUAGGGUUUCUAUUGCUGCAAUGAAAAAUCAUGAUCAAAACAAUUUGGGGAUGUUUAUUUGGGUUCCCAACACAGUUACUUGGGGAAGCUUUUGUGUAUUAAAUAGCCAUGCCUUGUUUCUUCCUACAGGUCCCACUGAACAUCCUGUCACU